GCGGCGGAUGGAAGAGAGAAGGAAACGGAAGGCACGGGAGUAGGAGAACCAGGAAAAGCGGCGGAAGAAGGCAAACGAGUGGAGAAGCAUGAGAGAGAAGAAAGCGAGGGAGGAGUGUUGGAGAAGAAGACGGUGGAAGAGCAAGUGGACUGGGGGGAAAGUGCCCUGGUGGAAGAGAUGAGGGGUAUGGUGGAGGAGCUGGGGGGGGGAGGGUGCGAGGGAGGAGUGUUGGAGAAGGAGACGGUGGAAGAGCAAGUGGACUGGGGGGAAAGUGCCCUGGUGGAAGAGAUGAGGGGUAUGGUGGAGGAGCUGGCGGGGGGGAGGGUGGUAUCUCUCCACUGCCGCCAUCACCAAAGAAGAGAAUGAAGAGGAGGGUGCGAUUGGCCGACAGUGAGAGGGAGGGGAUGGCCAAGAGAGUGAUGGGGGUGGGAGAAACCUCUGGGUUGCUGCUGGUUUCCCCAGGCCCUCAACUUCUGUUGGGUGGGGACACACCUAACAAGACUCAGGACUGGGUACAGGAGGAGGUGGGGAGUUUUUUGUUUGGGGACUCAGCCUCCCCGAUUUUUUUUCCAAACCAGCUGCAGCACUGGGGAGAGGGAGGAGUGUGGGGGUAGACCCAGGGUGCAGGGCACCCCGGAGCCAAACACUAUUCCUGCAUCCUGGGUUGGUGAGAUGGAGGAAGAGGGGGGGAUGUCGGGAGUAUGGAUGGUGUUCUCACCGGUAGAUAUGGAGCAGGGGAGCAUCGGGUGAGUCUCCUGUUUUUGUUUUUUUUCUGUCUGGGUUUAGAAUUUGAGUGUAUUACAUGAUUUUAUUUUAUUCUUUCAUGGCAUCUAAUUUUACUUUUGUUAGUUUAAAUGUAAGGGGUUUAAGGGAUUUUGUUAAGAGGAGGGCGGUUUUUAGUUAUUUGGAGGUUGUGGGGUUUGAUUUUUGUUUUUUACAGGAGGUUCACCUGAGGGAUGGAGGGGAUGUUAGUAGGUUUAAGAGGGAGUGGGACAAGGGGGAGUCAGUUUGGGGUAUUGGGGGGGUGCACUCAUCGGGGGUAGGGAUUUUGUCUGGGCACAGGGAGGUAAAAGUGGAGGAUUCUUUUGUGGUAAUGCAGGGGAGGGUUAUAGGGGUGGAUGUCACAAUAAGGGAUUGUAAAUUUAGAUUAGUGGUGGUGUAUGGGCCACAUGUGGUGGCAGACAGGAGGGAGAUGGUGGACUGUCUGACGCCCCUGUGUGUCACAAAUAGGAAAUUAGUGAUAGGGGGGGGGAUUUUAAUACAGAUUUAGGAAUAGGGGGGAUAGCAGUGCAGGCGCCAUUACCAGGCUAAUGGCUUGCCAUGGUCUGGUUGAUGGUGGUCUGCACACUACUCCGAAAAUGGCCGGUCCUACAUGGCGCAACUCCAGGGGGGUUGAGCGGAGGCUCGACUAUAUUUUUGUACCCAGGUCUUUGGGUAAGUUGUCUGGGCGGCUGUUGCCUGUUUUCUUUUCGGAUCACGACGGGGUGCUCCUGCAGGUGGGGUCGCCAGUCUGCCUCUUUGGUAGGGGGUACUGGAAGUUAGAUCGGGAUGUGCUGGAGGAGCAGGCUUUUGUUGACGGGUUUUAUGGUUUCUUUUGGAGGCUUGAAGGCCUCAGGUCCAUGUGCGAGGGGGUGUUAGAGUGGUGGAGAUUAGUUAAGGUGAGGAUUAGGGCUUUUAUAAUAGGGUAUUGCAAGAGGAAAAAAAG
ensembl:lncRNA